GGGCCAGUAGCUCAGCUGGUUAGAGCACGCGCUUGAUAAGCGCGGGGUCGCAAGUUCAAAUCUUGCCUGGCCCA
rnacentral:tRNA from 1 species